rnacentral:lncRNA from 1 species
AACUAUAAUCAUACAACUUGUAAAACUAUAACCGACAACCGGUAUAACUUUGUUAAUAAAAUCUUAAAACUUGGUAUAACUUUAUUGGUUAAAAUGUAUAACAUUUUUGGUUAAAAUGUAAGACUUAGGAUAAUUAACUUAGUAUAACUAAUUGAUAAAAUUGUAUAACUUGCUAUAACUUGAUUGUUAUCAUUGUAAAUUUUACAGAAGACCAUGAGUUGUUUAACCACAAACACACACUUUGGUU